UCGAUGUUUAUACUGUAUUUGAUAUUUUCUGUUUUUAUUGUUGUAAUGGCGGAUUUAGGAAAAGAUCGACAGAUUUCUUGGAAAAUUUCUUUGGGAACUAUUUUUUCGUUUAUUUGGCAUCUAAUUUGCAUAGAAUGUACUGUACGUUGAGCGUCAGCUGUUUGGCUGUGGGCGCGAGUAGUCGAACAGCUGUUGACUGGGCGAAUUUAUACGGCACAUUAUGAUUGUUUCAUAGUUUAAUUUUACCAAAAUGAAAAUUGGUGGACCUGUGUCGUCUAAAUCGACGAGACUGUUGUAAACAAAAGGAAAAACAAGGAGAACGUUUUGACCUGUUCAUUCAGCAUACGAGUAAGGUUUAUCCAGGACCGGGACGUGUUUCAUUAACUUAUGGAAAGAGCCAGAAAUUGCAUUUUCGGCCCUGAAAGUAAGUAACAAUAAAUCCGAAAAUCGUAAUAGGAAGAAUCUAGACGUGUGUAUUAAGAAUGCGGAAGAAGUUUCCACCAUGGAAAAGGAUGAAGUUACGAAAGAAUCAUCCGAAACAUGUUUUUUACCGAAGAAAUUGGAGAAAAGGAAUUAGAAAUAUGUCAACGAUAACAGAUGGAAGCACGUACACCUCGUCUACCUUUAAGCCACGUGACAGGGUGACAACAUCAUCAUUGGUGGAAACCUCUUCAUCUUUUAUGAAACCUUUUCUGGCGUAUACUUAGGAGCGAUGCGAAGUUAUGUCGAAGUGGAGUGGAUAGCGUGAGGUUAAAUCAUUUUCUUUAUCACUGGAUAGAGUGAACUAGUUUGUUCGGGAUCCCAUGGCCUUACACGAAACGAGAUGAUUUAAAUAUAGAAAUUGUGUUUAUAUACCUUAUCAUGGCUUACAGAAGGGCGGCUGAUAAUAGCAAUGGACAAACAGGAAUAACAGAUGAUAAUCCUCAUCACAUGGUGUACCGAAAAUAUUACAGGUUUGAGGUGAAGAUUACUUUAAAAACUUACGGUUUUUUCGACACUGUACGAAAAUAAAACGUGUGAAGUGGAUAAAAUCCGAUGAAUUUAAGUUACACGAUAUUUUUAUAUAGCAAAUAAACAUUAGUGUGUUUACACGAUUUAAAAAUCUUUAGUUAAAUGUUAUCUCGGAAGAACGUUGUUAAGUAUCGAUUUGGAAUCCGUAGCUUCUGUUGUGUAUUUCUAUAUCUCUUCUCGUCAUUUUAAUACUUUAAUAAAUUAUACGACUGUUUAAUGAUAGAAUAGUAAUACUGAAAUCAUUAUAAAUGCUUAAUUUCAAUCAUUACCAGUUUAAAUUACAUCGAUUCAAAUUGUUUUCUAGUUAUGUAUACAAUAUCUUUUCAAUGCACGCUUAGGAAGUAAAGUUAUUUUAUGAAUUUUAACUAUAUUUAAUGAAAUUAUUUACAAUGUUUACUUUAAGUUUUGAAGCGGGAAAUGACUGACGAAUAAAUCUACUUUGAAAUAUUAAUUCUCUUACAUUUAUUGGUAAAGCACCGAGACUAUUACGUCGCGUGUAUUUGACAACUGUUCCUUUGAACUGAGCUUAGGGGAAACGUCGAGAAGUAUUGUAAAAACUUGUCAACCCGACUAACACCUUAUUGGAUUUCGCAUUGAUUUGACUGACAACAGAUACGAUAUCUCGGAAACACCUUUAUCAUCGUGACAAAAAUAUUCUCCAAGUUCCUUGUAAGCGAACUUAAAAUAUUUAUUCUAGACGCGAAGCACGUUUAAGUCUUCCAAGUAAUCGUAUAAACUAUUCCCUUUUAUUCUUCUCUAAAAUAAAAAUGUAUAAGUUACAAAACUUUAAAGAGAUUUCAUGUUAUAAUUCUCGUUUAUAUCGUCCAUCCUCUUUGAUGUUACAAAAUAAAAUUUGCAAUAUAACAGCUUAAGAGGUUAGAAAAUACGAAAAUUAAA